GUUGUAUAGUCAAGUAAUUAAGUGCAUGUGGUGGAUGCCUUGGCAGUCAGAGGCGAUGAAAGACGUGAUAGCCUGCGAAAAGCUCCGGGGAGGCGGCAAAUAUCCUUUGAUCCGGAGAUGUCUGAAUGGGGGAACCCACCUACUUUAAGGUAGGUAUUGCAACAUGAAUACAUAGUGUUGCAAGGCGAACGAGGGGAAGU
rnacentral:rRNA from 1 species